rnacentral:rRNA from 1 species
AUUAAUAAUAACUACGAAAACAAAAAGUUAUGGCGGUAUUCUAAGCUUUUCAGAGGAUUUGCUCUUUAAUGGAUAAAACACCUGAAUCUUACUUAAAUUAGUUAAAUCAGUUUGUAUACCACUAUAUAAAGUAAUAAAUAAUUAAUAUUACUAUAAUUUUUCAUAAAAAGAAAAUUAAGUCAAGGUGCAGCAUAAAUUUAAGAAUGAAGUGAAUUACAAUUCUUUUAAGAAAAAAGAAUAUUUAAAAUAAUUUUAGGAUUUGAAAGUAAAUGUUUUAAUAGUAAUGAUAAAUUGAAUAAAGCUCUGGAUAUGUAC